rnacentral:rRNA from 1 species
GACGAACGCUGGCGGCGUGCCUAAUACAUGCAAGUAGAACGCACAGUUUAUACCGUAGCUUGCUACACCAUAGACUGUGAGUUGCGAACGGGUGAGUAACGCGUAGGUAACCUGCCUGGUAGCGGGGGAUAACUAUUGGAAACGAUAGCUAAUACCGCAUAAUAUUAAUUAUUGCAUGAUAAUUAAUUGAAAGGUGCAAUUGCACCACUACCAGAUGGACCUGCGUUGUAUUAGCUAGUAGGUGAGGUAACGGCUCACCUAGGCAACGAUACAUAGCCGACCUGAGAGGGUGAUCGGCCACACUGGGACUGAGACACGGCCCAGACUCCUACGGGAGGCAGCAGUAGGGAAUCUUCGGCAAUGGACGAAAGUCUGACCGAGCAACGCCGCGUGAGUGAAGAAGGGUUUCGGAUCGUAAAGCUCUGUUGUAAGAGAAGAACGGGCGUGAGAGUGGAAAGUUCACACUGUGACGGUAUCUUACCAGAAAGGGACGGCUAACUACGUG